rnacentral:rRNA from 1 species
UAGGGAAUCUUCCACAAUGGACGCAAGUCUGAUGGAGCAACGCCGCGUGAGUGAAGAAGGUUUUCGGAUCGUAAAGCUCUGUUGUUGGUGAAGAAGGAUAGAGGCAGUAACUGGUCUUUAUUUGACGGUAAUCAACCAGAAAGUCACGGGCUAACUACGUGCCAGCAGCCGCGGUAAUACGUAGGUGGCAAGCGUUGUCCGGAUUUAUUGGGCGUAAAGCGAGCGCAGGCGGAAUGAUAAGUCUGAUGUGAAAGCCCACGGCUCAACCGUGGAACUGCAUCGGAAACUGUCAUUCUUGAGUGCAGAAGAGGAGAGUGGAACUCCAUGUGUAGCGGUGGAAUGCGUAGAUAUAUGGAAGAACACCAGUGGCGAAGGCGGCUCUCUGGUCUGCAACUGACGCUGAGGCUCGAAAGCAUGGGUAGCGAACAGGAUUAGAUACCCUGGUAGUCCAUGCCGUAAACGAUGAGCGCUAGGUGUUGGGGACUUUCCGGUCCUCAGUGCCGCAGC